CUGGUAAACAUAAUAUAUUUUUUUCUUGAUACCAGGUAUUGAACUUUGGUCCUUGUGAACUUGGGUCCUUGUGCUUGCAAGGCAGGCGGCAGAACUACUGAGCUAAAUCCCGGGCCAGAGAAAAAGCAGUGUCCCAAAGGCUUCAUGCAGCGGCUGGAGGGAGAUUAUAGACUCAAAUACUAGACCACUUGGGAGCAAUGUGGAAUGUGGUUGCC
rnacentral:lncRNA from 1 species